rnacentral:rRNA from 1 species
GACGUAGGAUGCGAGCGUUGUUCGGAAUUACUGGGCGUAAAGGGCGCGUAGGCGGCCCGCUAAGUCGAACGUGAAAUCCCCGAGCUCAACUCGGGAACUGCGUCCGAUACUGGCGGGCUUGAAUCCGGGAGAGGGAUGCGGAAUUCCAGGUGUAGCGGUGAAAUGCGUAGAUAUCUGGAGGAACACCGGUGGCGAAGGCGGCAUCCUGGACCGGCAUUGACGCUGAGGCGCGAAAGCUAGGGGAGCAAACGGG